rnacentral:misc_RNA from 1 species
GAUGAAGAACGUAGCGAACUGCGAUAAGUAAUGUGAAUUGCAGAAUUCAGUGAAUCAUCGAGUCUUUGAACGCACAUUGCGCCCCCUGGUAUUCCGGGGGGCAUGCCUGCCCGAGCGUCAUUGCUGCCCUCAAGCACGGCUUGUGUGUUGGGCCUCCGUCCUCCUCCCGGGGGACGGGCCCGAAAGGCAGCGGCGGCACCGCGUCCGGUCCUCGAGCGUAUGGGGCUUCGUCACCCGCUCUUGUAGGCCCGGCCGGCGCUUGCCGACACAUCAAUCUUUUUUCCAGGUUGACCUCGGAUCAGGUAGGGAUACCCGCUGAACUUAAGCAUAUCAAUAAGCGGAGGA